rnacentral:rRNA from 1 species
CCUACGGGAGGCAGCAGUGAGGAAUAUUGGUCAAUGGACGAGAGUCUGAACCAGCCAAGUAGCGUGAAGGAUGACUGCCCUAUGGGUUGUAAACUUCUUUUAUAUGGGAAUAAAACGUUCCACGUGUGGGAUUUUGUAUGUACCAUAUGAAUAAGGACCGGCUAACUCCGUGCCAGCAGCCGCGGGAAUACGGAGGAUCUGAGCGUUAUCCGGAUUUAUUGGGUUUAAAGGGAGCGUAGGUGGAUUGUUAAGUCAGUUGUGAAAGUUUGCGGCUCAACCGUAAAAUUGCAGUUGAAACUGGCAGUCUUGAGUACAGGAGAGGUGGGCGGAAUUCGUGGUGUAGCGGUGAAAUGCUUAGAUAUCACGAAGAACUCCGAUUGCGAAGGCAGUUCACUGGACUGCAACUGACGCUGAGGCUCGAAAGUGUGGGUAUCAAACAGGAUUAGAUACCCGGGUAGUC